CCMGCUCCAAGAGUGUAUAUUAAAGUUGUUGCAGUUAAAACGUUCGCAGUCUAAUUUACUGGCGGUGCCGGAGGGACUUUCUAGUCCAGCUGGUGCAGCCGUGGUGGAGAGUACGGCAGGUGCCUUCGAAAGUCGGUGCUUGUCGCGGUACUUUGGUUACUGUGACGAAAGCAGAGUGUUCAUAGCAGGUGUUGCUUGAAUGUAUUAGCAUGGAAUAACGGAAUAGGACCUAGUUUCUAUUUUUUUGGUUUGUCAGGAACUUGGUAAUGAUUGAUAGGGGCAAUUGGGGGCAUUCGUAUUUGGAGGUCAGAGGUGAAAUUCUUGGAUUCUCCAAAGACGAACUAGGGCACAAGCAUUUGCCUAGGCUGUUCCCGUUGAUCAGUGGACUAAAGUUAAGGGAUCAAAGAUGAUUAGAUACCGUCGUAGUCUUGACCGUAAACGAUGCCGGCUUGGGAUCGGUGGAUGUUGUAGUGACGCCAUCGGGACCGUAUGAGAAAUCAAAGCGUUUGGGUUCUGGGGGGAGUAUGGUCGCAAGGCUGAAACUUGAAGGAAUUGACGG
rnacentral:rRNA from 1 species